CCUAGUGUAAUAAAUAUAUUACCAGCUUAAUAAGACUCAUUAAUGGUAUCUCACGAAUUUAUGGAAAUAUUACCUUUUGCAUAAUGGAUUAAUUAUAAUUUCAAAUUUAAUAAUUGUUCACGAAAUAGUUUGAGCUAAAUAUAUUUUACUACUUGGUAGUUUUCAUUGUGUGUAGCAUAACACAAAAUAUAAUAAUAUUUAGGGGUGAUAGACCUUUCAAAUUCUAUGAUAUCUUGAUAUUAUUUAAAUGUAAUAGUACAGAUACAAAUAUAAAGUGAUUAGGCUUUAUAUAAUUAUAAAAAUUAUUUAAUAAUCAAAACAGGUGUAAUUACCAGUUUGAACUUAUAGUAAUAUUAAUAUUAAUAUGCUUAUAUAAGAGUAAAUAAUUUUAACCUAAAUAACCUUGGUUGUCUAUAAUGUUAAUAUAAGUAAAACAUUAGGCGUUUUAAAUGAACUCGGCAAAUUAAGCUCUCAACUGUUUAUCAAAAACAUAACUGUAUGAAUAGAUAUAUAGCGAUUUCUGCUCAAUGGUUAAUUUAAAUAGCCGCAGUAAUUUGACUGUGCAAAGGUAGCAUAAUCAUUUGGCCUAUAAUUGGGGUCUAGUAUGAAAGAAUAUAUGGGGGCUAGCUGUCUCUAGAAUGUGACUUGAAAUUACUUAUUGGGUGAAAAUUCCCAUUUAAAAAUAAUAGACGAGAAGACCCUAGAAAUUUUAAAGAUUAGUGAGGAUUUUGUUUUUGUUGGGGCGACAUAAUAGCACAUUAAACCUAUUUUAAUUAUAUAUGAUUAUUAUAAUAAGAUAAAUUAAAUUACUCUAGGGAUAACAGCAUAAUAUUAAAAAGUUUGUGACCUCGAUGUUGGAUUAGGGAAUAAUAGCCCAGAAGGCUUUUUAUUUAGCUCUGUUCGAGCGGAAUUCCCCUACAUGAUCUGAGUUCAGACCGGCGUAAGCCAGGUCAGUUUCUAUCUUUAUAUUAAUUUAUUGUAGUACGAAAGGAAACAGUAAAAUUCAAUAAG
rnacentral:rRNA from 1 species